GUGCAGCCAAUUUAGCUGACUGCUCUCUUCCCUAUGGAACCUGGUGAGCAGUGAAUAACUGCAAACAGCAAGAAGUCUCCUUGGUGUCCUCAGCCUGUGGUUUUUUUAGGCUUAUCUAAGGGAUAGUGGACAGAGCC